rnacentral:lncRNA from 1 species
UUUCCAAAAUAUAAAUUCAGAACUAUGCCUCCUAUCUGACUGUGUUCUUUUAUCAUCCACUAGUCCACAGACAAAUGAAUUUAAAGGAGCAACCGAGGAGACACUUACGAAUGAUAUGUGAGUAGUAAAUGGUUAAAUAAAGACACCCAUCAGCAUAAGUGUGCAUAGAACUAUACACACACACAGGCACAUGAGCAAAUAUAUCCAUCCAUCCAUCCAUCCAUCCUUCCAUCCAUCCAUCCACACUUCUCUUCAACACAUGUACACAAAUUAAUCCAUGCACAUGGUGGAAACUUAGAACAAGGAGAAAAGAGACAGAUGGACAUUUGUGGAACUUAGGAGCCUGUCUGGGCAUAUAGAUUUUUUUUUUUUUAAUGGAGUUUCCAAUUCUUCUCAUUGUAGCAUUUGCUAGUAACUUUGCAUCCUUCUUUGGUGGAGUUGUAUAAAGAGGAGCAGGUCAUAGGAGAGUUGCUUCCUCCUGUUAGUGUAUUUGUCACCCUUAGUUCCUAGUAUGCAGUUUUUUUAUGGGACUCAGAUUUCCUGACAGAAAUUAAUUGGUUUCUGUCUAGAGUAAUAAAAGCUAAUUUUUCCAAAAAAGUGAAUUUAGAAUCGUGUCUCCUAGCUGACUAUAUUCUUUUAUCAUCCUCUAGCCCACACAGCAGUGAAUGUAAAGGAGCAGCCCUGGUGUCACCUAUCAGUAAAAGAUAAAGUAUGUUAGAACGACUUUCCAAGUUUGAAGUUGAAGAUGCUGAAAGUGUUGCUUCAUAUGAGUAAGUCAGUUUGAAGUUUGAAUGGAGGGAGCCAUUGAUGGAUCUCUUA